rnacentral:miRNA from 1 species
AGGUCUGAUAUUCUAUCUUU